rnacentral:lncRNA from 1 species
AAGAUUCUGCUGAAACCACCAGCUCCUGAUCUCCAACAAUUGUCUCCUCCAAGUGGAUCACCAAGAAUGACUGAUUCUUAUACUCUUCCUAUGCUCGUAGUCCAAACACUAUUAAUCUUCAGUAGCGUCGGAAGUUUAAUUGAGAAAGUACCUUUCUAAGGGUAUUUAGGAAGUAGGUAUUUUGAAUUGAAUGGAUUCGGUGUUUU